rnacentral:sRNA from 1 species
GCCGGGUGCGGUGGCACACACCUGUAAUCCCAGCGGCUCUGGAGGCUGAGGCAGGAGGAUCAUGAGUUCAAAGCCAGCCUCAGCAACAGCGAGGUGCUUGGUAACUCAGUGAGACCCUGUCUCUA